AUUGAACGCUGGCGGCAGGCUUAACACAUGCAAGUCGAGCGGGGUGAUGGUGCUUGCACUAUCACUUAGCGGCGGACGGGUGAGUAAUGCUUAGGAAUCUGCCUAUUAGCGGGGGACAACAUCUCGAAAGGGAUGCUAAUACCGCAUACGUCCUACGGGAGAAAGCAGGGGAUCACUUGUGACCUUGCGCUAAUAGAUGAGCCUAAGUCGGAUUAGCUAGUUGGUGGGGUAAAGGCCUACCAAGGCGACGAUCUGUAGCGGGUCUGAGAGGAGGAGCCGCCACACUGGGACUGAGACACGGCCCAGACUCCUACGGGAGGUAGCAGUGGGGAAUAUUGGACAAUGGGGGGAACCCUGAUCCAGCCAUGCCGCGUGUGUGAAGAAGGCCUUAUGGUUGUAAAGCACUUUAAGCGAGGAGGAGGCUCUUUUGGUUAAUACCCAAGAUGAGUGGACGUUACUCGCAGAAUAAGCACCGGCUAACUCUGUGCCAGCCGCCGCCGUAA
rnacentral:rRNA from 1 species